rnacentral:lncRNA from 1 species
GACAUAUUAAAAUCUAUAUUCCAAAGACUCUAACCUUUAUAAAGAACAAGCAAAACUAUACAUUCCUUUUCUGCAUUUAUAUAAUUCCCUCUCUAUUACGUUCCUGCAGUCCUCUAAUGUUUUAAUCUUUCUGUCACACUUGCAUGAAACUACAGGCCUGGGUUGGAGCCUGCUUCCUUUGCCCUUAAGAAGUUAAGAAAAAGAAGCCAAGACUCUUCCACUUGAUUUUUACUUUUAUAUUUUUAUUUAAUAAUGAUAGCUUUUGAACAAGAUCUGAGUUUUGUCUUAUAAUAUAAUAAUAUUACUCAUGAUAUUAAUGGUAGCAAUGUUACUCAUGUAGUGAGUUGCAUCAAUUGUAAGGGAGGAUUUUUUGUACUUAAUGUCAUAAAUACAUUUAAUAUGUCACCAUAAUUGAUUCUAUCUUUAAUUUUGCAAUAAAGCUUACUAACAGAUGAAAGCCUGGGUUGAAGACUGCGAUAUGAUAACCCUUCCAUCUAGAUUUCCAGUUCAGAUUCUGCUUGAGAGAAAGCCAAUGUCUGACAACUGGACGGUCACCUCUGUGAAUUAAUCUGGUGGGCUCAAUCCGAUUCUACUCACAUCUCCAAAACUAGUACUACAGCCAGCAAGUCUCUACACAGAGUCUAAGAGUUAAGCAAUCACAAUGACUGAACCAUCAACUUGACCUUUAAGAUCCCUUUAGAAAAGCAGUGUUCCACAGCCUAACAUGAAAACAGCGGGUGAAAGUCACACCUCACUGAAGUCAAUAGGAGGAUUGCUUUCAGUGGAACUUGGACUUCACCCGGCCAAUCCAGUCUGCAGUGUUUGGAUCCUACCUAUGUCCAAAGUACAGAUUCCAUCAUCUGCCUUCUUUCCUGAACCUUAAAGGUAUUUACUCAGCAUUGCAGUCUCUCAGUUCCACUUUGUUUUAAUGCAGUUACAUAAUAAACUAUGGACCUCCAGAGAUCA